GGGUAUAGUUUAAAGGUAGAACGAAGGUCUCCAAAACCUUUGGUGUGGGUUCAAUUCCUACUACCC
rnacentral:tRNA from 2 species